rnacentral:rRNA from 1 species
CUACGGGAGGCACCAGUGGGGAAUAUUGCACAAUGGGCGCAAGCCUGAUGCAGCCAUGCCGCGUGUAUGAAGAAGGCCUUCGGGUUGUAAAGUACUUUCAGCGGGGAGGAAGGGAGUAAAGUUAAUACCUUUGCUCAUUGACGUUACCCGCAGAAGAUGCACCGGCUAACUCCGUGCCAGCAGCCGCGGUAUUACGGAGGGUGCAAGCGUUAAUCGGAAUUACUGGGCGUAAAGCGCACGCAGGCGGUUUGUUAAGUCAGAUGUGAAAUCCCCGGGCUCAACCUGGGAACUGCAUCUGAUACUGGCAAGCUUGAGUCUCGUAGAGGGGGGUAGAAUUCCAGGUGUAGCGGUGAAAUGCGUAGAGAUCUGGAGGAAUAUCGGUGGCGAAGGCGGCCCCCUGGACGAAGACUGACGCUCAGGUGCGAAAGCGUGGGGAGCGAACAGGAUUAGAUACCCGCGUAGUC